AAACAAAUUAGUAAAUUAUAUAAGCCCUUUAUAAGAGAUUGCUAUUUACUUCCGCUGUACAUUCAAUGCUAUAUACGUUUCUAACAAAAUAUUCGAUGCACGUUUCAAAAAUCAAUUCAGAAGCUUAAAAACUUUCCAAUAAUGUUGAAAUUAUAAAUAUAUUCUUAGUUUGCGAUAUUCCAGCUAAUUCAGAGGUCUCCAGCUAAACUGUUUUUUUUAGCAUACAGCAGCUCGCUU